rnacentral:rRNA from 1 species
GACCCACCUGAUUCCAUUCCGAACUCAGAAGUGAAACGAAAUAGCGCCGAUGGUAGUGUGGGGUUUCCCCAUGUGAGAGUAGGACAUCGCCAGGC